UACAGAGGGGGGCAAGCGUUAUUCGGAAUUACUGGGCGUAAAGGGCUCGUAGGCGGCCAACUAAGUCAGACGUGAAAUCCCCUCGGCUUAACCGGGGAACUGCGUCUGAUACUGGAUGGCUUGAGUUUGGGAGAGGGAUGCGGAAUUCCAGGUGUAGCGGGUGAAAUGCGUAGAUAUCUGGAGGAACACCGGUGGCGAAGGCGGCAUCCUGGACCAACACUGACGCUGAGGAGCGAAAGCCAGGGGGAGCAAACGGG
rnacentral:rRNA from 1 species